AUUGAACGCUGGCGGCAUGCCUUACACAUGCAAGUCGAACGGCAGCGGGGACUUCGGUCCGCCGGCGAGUGGUGAACGGGUGAGUAAUGUAUCGGAACGUACCUUUCAGUGGGGGAUAACGUAGCGAAAGUUACGCUAAUACCGCAUAUUCUCUGUGGAGGAAAGCAGGGGACCUUCGGGCCUUGUGCUGAUGGAGCGGCCGAUAUCAGAUUAGCUAGUUGGUGAGGUAAAGGCUCACCAAGGCGACGAUCUGUAGCGGGUCUGAGAGGAUGAUCCGCCACACUGGGACUGAGACACGGCCCAGACUCCUACGGGAGGCGGCAGUGGGGAAUUUUGGACAAUGGGCGCAAGCCUGAUCCAGCCAUGCCGCGUGAGUGAAGAAGGCCUUCGGGUUGUAAAGCUCUUUCGGACGGGAAGAAAUUGGUGGGGCUAAUAUCCCCAUCGGAUGACGGUACCGUAAUAAGAAGCACCGGCUAACUACGUGCCAGCCGCCGCGGUAACAC
rnacentral:rRNA from 1 species